rnacentral:rRNA from 1 species
CAAGCUACUAAGGGCAAUCGGUGGAUGCCUAGGCACCAAGAGCCGAUGAAGGACGUUGUGACCUGCGAUAAGCCCUGGGGAGUUGGUGAGCGAGCUGUGAUCCGGGGGUGUCCGAAUGGGGAAACCUGGAAUGUCCGGAGUAGUGUCCGGUGGCCCUGCCCUGAAUGUAUAGGGGUGUGGGUGGUAACGCGGGGAAGUGAAACAUCUUAGUACCCGUAGGAAGAGAAAACAAGUGUGAUUCCGUGAGUAGUGGCGAGCGAAAGCGGAGGAGGCUAAACCGUGUGUGUGUUCAAGCCGGCAGGUGUUGCAUGUGCGGGGUUGUGGGGGCCUUGUGGUUCUGCUGCCGCAGGAUUGGCCAGUGAGAAAUGUUGCGUGAAGGUGAAGCGUCUGGGAAGGCGUACCGGAGUGGGUGAGAGUCCUGUAACUGUAAGCGUGGCACUGGUGUGGGGUUGCCCCGAGUAGCGUGGAACUCGUGGAAUUUCGCGUGAAUCUGGCGGGACCACCCGUCAAGCCUAAAUACUCCUUGGUGACCGAUAGCGGACUAGUACCGUGAGGGAAAGGUGAAAAGCACCCCGACGAGGGGAGUGAAACAGAUCCUGAAACCGGACGCCUACAAGCAGUCGGAGCCGCCUUGCGCGGUGACGGCGUACCUUUUGUAUAAUGGGUCAGCGACUUACAUUCAGUGGCAAGCUUAACCGAGUAGGGAAGGCGCAGGGAAACCGAGUCCGAACAGGGCGAAUAGAGUCGCUGGGUGUAGACCCGAAACCAGGUGAUCUAUCCAUGGCCAGGAUGAAGGUGCCGUAACAGGUACUGGAGGUCCGAACCCACUACUGUUGCAAAAGUAGGGGAUGAGCUGUGGAUAGGGGUGAAAGGCCAAUCAAACACCGUGAUAGCUGGUUCUCCCCGAAAUGCAUUUAGGUGCAGCGUUACGUGUUUCUUGCCGGAGGUAGAGC